rnacentral:rRNA from 1 species
UGGGGAAUAUUGCACAAUGGGCGCAAGCCUGAUGCAGCCAUGCCGCGUGUGUGAAGAAGGCCUUCGGGUUGUAAAGCACUUUCAGCGGGGAGGAAGGCGGUGAGGUUAAUAACCUCAUCGAUUGACGUUACCCGCAGAAGAAGCACCGGCUAACUCCGUGCCAGCAGCCGCGGUAAUACGGAGGGUGCAAGCGGUAAUCGGAAUUACUGGGCGUAAAGCGCACGCAGGCGGUCUGUCAAGUCGGAUGUGAAAUCCCCGGGCUCAACCUGGGAACUGCAUUCGAAACUGGCAGGCUAGAGUCUUGUAGAGGGGGGUAGAAUUCCAGGUGUAGCGGUGAAAUGCGUAGAGAUCUGGAGGAAUACCGGUGGCGAAGGCGGCCCCCUGGACAAAGACUGACGCUCAGGUGCGAAAGCGUGGGGAGCAAACAGG